CCUACGGGCGGCAGCAGUAGGGAAUAUUGCUCAAUGGGGGAAACCCUGAAGCAGCCACGCCGCGUGGAGGAUGAAGGUUUUCGGAUUGUAAACUCCUUUUGUUAGAGAAGCUAAUGAUGGUAUCUAUCGACUAAGCACCGGCUAACUCCGUCCCAGCAGCCGCGGUCAUACGGAGGGUGCAAGCGUUACUCGGAAGCACUGGGCGGAAAGAGCGCGUAGGCGGGAUAGCAAGUCAGAUGUGAAAUCCUAUGGCUUAACCAUAGAACUGCAUUUGAAACUGGUAUUCUAGAGUAUGGGAGAGGGAGGUGGAAUUCUUGGUGUAGCGGUAAAAUCCGUAGAGAUCAAGAGGAAUACUGAUGGCGAAGGCGACCUGCUAGAACAUAACUGACGCUGAUGCGCGAAAGCGUGGGGAGCAAACAGGAUUAGAUACCCCUGUAGUC
rnacentral:rRNA from 1 species